rnacentral:rRNA from 1 species
CUGUGGAAACCGGGGCUAAUACCGGAUGCUUGAUUGAACCGCAUGGUUCAAUCAUAAAAGGUGGCUUUCAGCUACCACUUGCAGAUGGACCCGCGGCGCAUUAGCUAGUUGGUGAGGUAACGGCUCACCAAGGCGACGAUGCGUAGCCGACCUGAGAGGGUGAUCGGCCACACUGGGACUGAGACACGGCCCAGACUCCUACGGGAGGCAGCAGUAGGGAAUCUUCCGCAAUGGACGAAAGUCUGACGGAGCAACGCCGCGUGAGUGAUGAAGGUUUUCGGAUCGUAAAACUCUGUUGUUAGGGAAGAACAAGUACCGUUCGAAUAGGGCGGUACCUUGACGGUACCUAACCAGAAAGCCACGGCUAACUACGUGCCAGCAGCCGCGGUAAUACGUAGGUGGCAAGCGUUGUCCGGAAUUAUUGGGCGUAAAGCGCGCGCAGGCGGUUUCUUAAGUCUGAUGUGAAAGCCCCCGGCUCAACCGGGGAGGGUCAUUGGAAACUGGGGAACUUGAGUGCAGAAGAGGAGAGUGGAAUUCCACGUGUAGCGGUGAAAUGCGUAGAGAUGUGGAGGAACACCAGUGGCGAAGGCGACUCUCUGGUCUGUAACUGACGCUGAGGCGCGAAAGCGUGGGGAGCGAACAGGAUUAGAUACCCUGGUAGUCCACGCCGUAAACGAUGAGUGCUAAGUGUUAGAGGGUUUCCGCCCUUUAGUGCUGCAGCAAACGCAUUAAGCAAUCCGCCUGGGGAGUACGGUCGCAAGACUGAAACUCAAAGGAAUUGACGGGGGCCCGCACAAGCGGUGGAGCAUGUGGUUUAAUUUGAAGCAACGCGAAGAACCUUACCAGGUCUUGACAUCCUCUGACAACCCUAGAGAUAGGGCUUCCCCUUCGGGGGCAGAGUGACAGGUGGUGCAUGGUUGUCGUCAGCUCGUGUCGUGAGAUGUUGGGUUAAGUCCCGCAACGAGCGCAACCCUUGAUCUUAGUUGCCAGCAUUCAGUUGGGCACUCUAAGGUGACUGCCGGUGACAAACCGGAGGAAGGUGGGGAGGACGUCAAAUCAUCAUGCCCCUUAUGACCUGGGCUACACACGUGCUACAAUGGGCAGAACAAAGGGCAGCGAAGCCGCGAGGCUAAGCCAAUCCCACAAAUCUGUUCUCAGUUCGGAUCGCAGUCUGCAACUCGACUGCGUGAAGCUGGAAUCGCUGUAAUCGCGGAUCAGCAUGCCG